rnacentral:rRNA from 1 species
AGAGUUUGAUCAUGGCUCAGAUUGAACGCUGGCGGCAUGCCUAACACAUGCAAGUCGAACGGAAACGAUGGGAGCUUGCUCCCAGGCGUCGAGUGGCGGACGGGUGAGUAAUACUUAGGAAUCUGCCCAGUAGUGGGGGACAACUCGAGGAAACUCGAGCUAAUACCGCAUACGCCCUACGGGGGAAAGCGGAGGAUCUUUCGGGACUUCGCGCUAUUGGAUGAGCCUAAGUCGGAUUAGCUUGUUGGUGAGGUAAAGCUCACCAAGGCGACGAUCCGUAGCUGGUCUGAGAGGACGAUCAGCCACACUGGGACUGAGACACGGCCCAGACUCCUACGGGAGGCAGCAGUGGGGAAUAUUGGACAAUGGGGGCAACCCUGAUCCAGCAAUGCCGCGUGUGUGAAGAAGGCCUGCGGGUUGUAAAGCACUUUCAGUAGAGAAGAAAAGCUUAGGGUUAAUACCCCUGAGUCUUGACGUUACCUACAGAAGAAGCUCCGGCUAACUCCGUGCAGCAGCCGCGGUAAUACGGAGGGAGCGAGCGUUAAUCGGAAUUACUGGGCGUAAAGCGCGCGUAGGCGGCUUUGUAAGUCGGAUGUGAAAGCCCUGGGCUCAACCUGGGAAUGGCAUUCGAAACUGCAGAGCUAGAGUAUGGUAGAGGGAAGUGGAAUUUCCGGUGUAGCGGUGAAAUGCGUAGAUAUCGGAAGGAACACCAGUGGCGAAGGCGACUUCCUGGGCCAAUACUGACGCUGAGGUGCGAAAGCGUGGGAGCAAACAGGAUUAGAUACCCUGGUAGUCCACGCCGUAAACGAUGAGAACUAGAUGUCGGGAGGGUUUGCCUUUCGGUGUCGCAGCUAACGCGUUAAGUUCUCCGCCUGGGGAGUACGCCGGCAACGGUAAAACUCAAAGGAAUUGACGGGGACCCGCACAAGCGGUGGAGCAUGUGGUUUAAUUCGAUGCAACGCGAAGAACCUUACCUGCCCUUGACAUUGAUAGAAUCCUGUAGAGAUACGGGAGUGCCUUGGCCUUGAAAACA